UGAGGUAACGGCCCACCAAGGCAACGAUCGGUAGCCGGCCUGAGAGGUUGAACGGCCACAUUGGGACUGAGACACGGCCCAGACUCCUACGGGAGGCAGCAGUGGGGAAUAUUGCACAAUGGGGGAAACCCUGAUGCAGCGACGCCGCGUGGAGGAAGAAGGUCUUCGGAUUGUAAACUCCUGUCGUCGGGGAAGAUAAUGACGGUACCCAACAAGGAAGUGACGGCUAACUACGUGCCAGCAGCCGCGGUAAAACGUAGGUCACAAGCGUUGUCCGGAAUUACUGGGUGUAAAGGGAGCGCAGGCGGGAAGACAAGUUGGAAGUGAAAUCUAUGGGCUCAACCCAUAAACCGCUUUCAAAACUGUUUUUCUUGAGUAGUGCAGAGGUAGGCGGAAUUCCCGGUGUAGCGGUGGAAUGCGUAGAUAUCGGGAGGAACACCAGUGGCGAAGGCGGCCUACUGGGCACCAACUGACGCUGAGGCUCGAAAGUGUGGGUAGCAAAC
rnacentral:rRNA from 1 species